rnacentral:rRNA from 1 species
ACCUUACCUGGCCUUGACAUCCUGCGAACUUUCUAGAGAUGGAUUGGUGCCUUCGGGAACUCUGAGACAGGUGCUGCAUGGCCGUCGUCAGCUCGUGUCGUGAGAUGUUGGGUUAAGUCCCGUAACGAGCGCAACCCCUAUCCCUGGUUGCUAGCAGGUAAUGCUGAGAACUCCAGGGAGACUGCCGGUGACAAACCGGAGGAAGGUGGGGAUGACGUCAGGUCAUCAUGGCCCUUACGGCCAGGGCUACACACGUGCUACAAUGGCGCGUACAGAGGGCUGCCAACUCGCGAGAGUGAGCCAAUCCCUUAAAACGCGUCGUAGUCCGGAUCGGAGUCUGCAACUCGACUCCGUGAAGUCGGAAUCGCUAGUAAUCGCGAAUCAGAAUGUCGCGGUGAAUACGUUCCC